rnacentral:misc_RNA from 1 species
UACACACACACACAAAUUUAAGAUAAAUUAAUCAAUGAAGUGUAGAAAAGGGGGGAAAAAAGGUUCCUUUGGUGUAGUGUGAGGCAACAAUAGUGUACGAGGCAUUCCUAAUAGGAAUGAGGACUAAUGCGAGGUUAACUGUUAUAUUUAAGAUUUAAAAUACAUUUCUUACUCUGCAAAAUAUCCAGAUUAAAGCAGACCUGCAAGAUUCUUUUAACCAUAGUUUUGUGAAUCAGACCUAAAUCUUCCUAUCCUAAGGACAUGUUUAGUAUGAUGUAAUCAAAGGUGUAAUAUAAUCGUGGUUACAUUGCAUAUUUGAUUACUUUGUUUGGUAACGCCAAAAAAUUUGAUGUAAUGAAAUGAUACAUAAUGUAAUCAAUUACACUUUAAAUAACGUAAUGAUUACUGCCCCCUUACGCUGACAUACAUGUGAAGGCCUGUUAAACAUAAGUAUAGAAUGGAUUACCGUGAUUCCUGAUCCCUUUGAAAAAUUGAUUGAACUUUGAACGUUUUGCCCCUCUGAUGGACAUGGUAUUGUUUUAAUCUGCAUUUUACUGCUAUAAUCUUCCACAGGGAUGAAGAAUAUGAUCGAGGU